AUGGUCUUCUCCUUCGUAGCCAAAGCCACCGCCCCCAAGGUCUACCCCUUGGUGCCCUGCGACUGCGACGACCCCACGGUCAGCGUGGCCUGUUUGGCCGCCGACUUCUUCCCCGAACCGGCCACCAUCUCCUGGACCAGCCCCGUCUCCGGGCAGCAGGCCACCUUCCCAGUUCUCCCAGUUGCUGGAGGCUACUACAACCUCAUCUCCCAGUUCACCGUCCCGGUCAACCAGGUGGACAACAACUUCCAGUGCACGGUGGCCCACAGCCCCACGGGGACCACCACCAAGACCAUCGAAAGUGGCGAUAACACACGGGCGAUGACCGUCACCCUCCUCCCCCCAUCCAUGGAGGACCUCUACCUCAGCCAGAACGGCAGCGUCACCUGCGUGGCCACCAACCUGAAGGACCCCAAGGACGUCAAGUUUGUCUGGAAGAGGGACCAAGGGAAGGUAGCCAAGCGCUGGCUUUUGGUAGCCAAGCUCCAGGAGAGGGACAACUGGGGCCACCAGAGCUCCACGGGGGGGUGGUCCAUGCCAGUAGCCCCCCCAACACCCCUCUCAACGAUGGUCUUCUCCUUCGUAGCCAAAGCCACCGCCCCCAAGGUCUACCCCUUGGUGCCCUGCGACUGCGACGACCCCACGGUCAGCGUGGCCUGUUUGGCCGCCGACUUCUUCCCCGAACCGGCCACCAUCUCCUGGACCAGCCCCGUCUCCGGGCAGCAGGCCACCUUCCCAGUUCUCCCAGUUGCUGGAGGCUACUACAGCCUCAUCUCCCAGUUCACCGUCCCGGUCAACCAGGUGGACAACAACUUCCAGUGCAAGGUGGCCCACAGCCCCACGGGGACCACCACCAAGACCAUCGAAAGUGGCGAUAUUUGUCCACAUGAGCUGCCCCUGGAGGUCAAGCUCUUGGGUGACCCCAACAAGUACCAGAAGCAGCAGCAGGUCCUCCUGAUGUGCCUCGUGGAGAGCCCCAAGGCCGGAGAAGCCACCAUCACGUGGAUGGUCAACCACGUGGAGAAGCCCCUCAUGCCGGCGGUCACCACCUGUGACAAGUGCUCCGGGGACAAGGCCAUCAUGACCAGUCAGGUCAACGUCAGCCGGCAGAGCUGGGACAACGGGGCCGAGUUCUCCUGCAAGGUCACCCACCCUGAACUGAGCAAAGCCGUGGUCCAAGACAUCAGCACCUUCUGCACAGAUAACACACGGGCGAUGACCGUCACCCUCCUCCCCCCAUCCAUGGAGGACCUCUACCUCAGCCAGAACGGCAGCGUCACCUGCGUGGCCACCAACCUGAAGGACCCCAAGGACGUCAAGUUUGUCUGGAAGAGGGACCAAGGGAAGGUCUCGGAUGUCACCAGGGGGACCCCCAAGGAACUGGAGAACGGGCUCUACCAUCUCACCAGCACCUUGAAGAUCGGCGCCGAGGACUGGAACUCGGGGGAGAAGUUCACCUGCACCAUCCAAAACCCCCAACUGGAAGAACCCGUCACCAAGAGCAUCAAGAAGGAACUAGGUAGGAGCCUCCCGCCCCACACUUUGCCCCACAUCCGGCCCCACCGAGGUGGAGAGGGGGGGAUGGGGGGGGGCUUGGUGGAGUCGUGGUGGCCA